GACGAACGCUGGCGGCGUGCUUAACACAUGCAAGUCGAACGGAAAGGCCCUGCUUUUGUGGGGUGCUCGAGUGGCGAACGGGUGAGUAACACGUGAGUAACCUGCCCUUGACUUUGGGAUAACUUCAGGAAACUGGGGCUAAUACCGGAUAGGAGCUCCUGCUGCAUGGUGGGGGGUGGAAAGUUUCGGCGGUUGGGGAUGGACUCGCGGCUUAUCAGCGUGUUGGUGGGGUAGUGGCUUACCAAGGCUUUGACGGGUAGCCGGCCUGAGAGGGUGACCGGCCACCUUGGGACUGAGAUACGGCCCAGACUCCUACGGGGGGCCGCAGUGGGGAAUAUUGCACAAUGGGCGGAAGCCUGGUGCAGCAACGCCGCGUGCGGGAUAACGGCCUUCGGGUUGUAAACCGCUUUCGCCUGUGACGAAGCCUGGGUGGCGGUAAUGGGUAAAGAAGCACCGGCUAACUACGUG
rnacentral:rRNA from 1 species